AGAUCGACCGCUUUGUCUCUCCUUGCGAUUUGAAUGACCACCAUCGGAACUUCUCAUCGCUUCUGAUUUGUUCGUUCCACCAAAUCCCCAAACAGAUGAAGAAGACGAUGUGCGUUUUUUAUGUUGAGAGAGAGAGAGGAGUAAUGUGAACCUCAAAACUACCAAUAUCAGGACAAGUUUCUACCUAAAUAAAAGAGGUGAUUUAAAAAACAAAAACGUUAAUACACGGUUUAUCUAUUUCCCUUCCGGUUCAAACCGGUCCGAUCCGUUUCUCACAAAUCUGAUUUCAAGAGUUUUUCUUUCAAAAAAAAACCUUUUUAUGGGAGUGUGUGCACCUCUUGGCACAAGCCUCUAUCCAACCACAUAUACAUAGACUUGAGUACUCGACUACAACACACACAAGUGACAAGAUGCAUAUUUCCAUGAGGUUCUUUACACUACACAUUACACAUUACACAAUUGAGACCUAAAAGAAAUCAAUCUCUAAGUAGCUACCAGUAGGCUUAACCUCUACUCUCUCCGGCGACGGAAUCGGAAUAUCUGGCGGAGUGGCACAACGGAUCAACGCCCAAUUCACACUCUGAAAAAAUGGGUGCUGUUUAAUCUCCGUCGCCCCUCUCCUGUAAGCAAGCCGAUGCUGCGGUUCUUUCACCAAUAACCCCCUAAUCAAAUCCCUCGCUGCAAAGCUAACCGACGGCGUUUCUGGAAACCUCAACGGAUGCCCCACCACAUUGAACAACGUCGCCCGAUUACUCGCCCCUUUGAACGGAGUUUUACCAAACAAAAGCUCGUACAGAAAAACCCCAAACGUCCACCAAUCCACGGCACUCCCAUGCCCUUCACCCUUGAUGAUCUCCGGUGCCAGAUACUCGUGGGUCCCAACAAACGACAUCGACCGGGCAUUUGUCGGCUCUGCAAUCAGCUCAGGAGGGUUGCAUACAGGAUGGCUGAACCAUGCAAGAUGGUUCGAUACAGGCAGGCUGAUCACGGGAAUCGGAGGUUUUCGGUUCCACAGUGGUGGUGGUGGUGGUUCUCAUGGAUCUAACCAGUUUUGGGUUCACAACACAUCUCAAAGAGAGAUCGAAAUCUGAGAGCAUUAUGUGACCAUCUUCCCUCACCAACACAUUCUCUGGUUUAAGGUCUCUGUAAAUGAUCCCAAGCAUAUGCAGAUACUCCAAAGCAAGGAGCACUUCUGCUACAUAAAACCUACAUAAAAAUGGAAAUUUUGAAGGUUAAAUUAUGAAAGAUUUCAAGUCAAACUCAAAAAUGGAGAAGGAGAACAACUGCUAACCUGACUGCGUGCUCCGGGAAGAACUUUCCAGGUUGUUUUUGGCGGAGAGCAUGCAAAUCGCCACCUGGACAAUACUCCAUGACUAAACAUGACAACUUUUCGGUGUCAAAAUGUGCAUAUAAAGUGGGGAGAAACGGGUGAUCAAGAGAUUGCAGGAUUUCCUUUUCCGUUUGUGCCCUCAAGAGCUUAUUCCUGCUUGCGAGGGCAGUUUUGUCCAUCACUUUCAUGGCGAAGUAGUUUUGUGUCCCGAUUAACUCAGAAAGAUAAACACUUCCUAUGUCUCCACAUCCCAAUCUCUUUAGAUGUCUAAAGUUUCUGAUUUCUAUCAUACCAGUUUCGUUUCUGGAUCUUACGAUUUGAAUUGCUUCCCAUCUUGUAUCGUUUUGUUUGUGGGGUUUGAAAAUGGCGCUAUUGAAACUGCUUGAGGUACUAUCAUCACUUAGAUCGCUUCCAGUGCUUUCUCUGUAUAUACUACUUGUCUUGUUGCUUUCAAGAUAGUCGCUAGUUUGACCACUGAUUUGACCACUUUCGUCAUCCUUACCGAUUGUGCUUGCAAACUCGCUCACCUCUGUGCUGGUGAAGCUUUCUUUGGCUUCUGAAAACUGUGUGACGGAAUAGAAACUGUUUUGUGGGCUUGCGCUAGGAACAGGACCAUGACCAUGACCAUGCCCACGAUCUGUGUUCAUGCCCAUUGGUGGAUUGAUGGGCUGUUUGCUUCCGAAUUUAGCUUCCACCUCUAGGAUGUGGUUAUGGAAGUAAUCUCUCGCCGAUUGAACAUCUGGUUUCCGUUUAUCGGGUGCAGAAUUAGGUUUUGAGUGGGUAGAUGGUAUGGCUUCCUUUUCGAUGUAAUCCUUGGAGGUUUUAUACGAACUUGCAACAGACAUUGUGGAGAUAUCUGGUAAGAAAUGGGAUGAAGAUGGAGAUAUUUCUCGGUUUGAUUGUUUUGCAGAGCGCGGAUGAGGAGGUCGGCUUCUUGAACGCGGAUUGAAGGUUGACAUGGUGGCAGAGUUAUGGCUGGGUGGCAAAGAACGAACUCCGUCGAUAAGCGAAUCCAUCUACACCGAUUCAACCACGAUCGAAUUAGGCACAAUAAUCUGCAACUUUCUUGAAUAUGAAUUUAAUCAUCAUUUCUGCGUAAACUCAACAAAAUUACAAGUUUGGGGAAGAAUAUUAUAAGUUUAACAUACAUUUCAGGUA